AGCGAACGCUGGCGGCAGGCCUAACACAUGCAAGUCGAGCGCCGUAGCAAUACGGAGCGGCAGACGGGAGAGUAACACGUGGGAACGUACCCUUUGGUUCGGAACAACCCAGGGUAACUUGGGCUAAUACCGGAUAAGCCCUCACGGGGAAAGAUUCAUCGCCGACGGAUCGGCCCGCGUCAGAUUAGCUAGUUGGUGGGGUGAUGGCCCACCAAGGCGACGAUCAGUAGCUGGUCUGAGAGGAUGAUCAGCCUCACUGGGACUGGGACACGGCCCAGACUCCUACGGGAGGCAGCAGUGGGGAAUAUUGUACAAUGGGCGCAAGCCUGAUCCAGCCAUGCCGCUUGGGUGAUGAAGGCCCUAGGGUUGUAAAGCCCUUUCGGCGGGGAAGAUAAUGACGGUACCCGCAGAAGAAGCCCCGGCUAACUUCGUGCCAGCAGCCGCCGCCGUAA
rnacentral:rRNA from 1 species